rnacentral:rRNA from 1 species
AUGGCUAAAGGUCAAAAGGUAACAUACCCCGAGUAUGUUGAUUUCAAUAGUGAUGAAGAUGAUUUGCUAGGAGAUGAUGAUUUACUUGUUGACAAUUCUAGUGAUGAAAACUAUGAUGAACUUGCUAUUAAACAAGACAAAACGAAUGACGAUGAUAAGAAGGAGAUUGAGUGUCUAACAAAAGAGCUAAACACUCUUAAGUUAGCUCAUGAAACUACCUUGGAAAAUCAUCGAGAUCUUUUAAAGACUCAUGAGAAGCUACGCUUUGAAAAGCUCAACCUUGAGCAAGAGCAUGAGUUCUUAAAGGCGAUCAAUGAUGAUCUUUGCAAGAAAAGUUCUUUUUACAUUGCCAAGCGUUUACUUUUGUCUACUUAUGUGCCACAAGUUAAAACUAGCAACAAGAGUAAGAAAGAUUCUUCUUCUAGUAGUAACAACAAUUAUGCUAAAUCCAAUAUUGUUGCUUCUAGUAGUUCUCUUGAUUCCACUAAUGAUUCUCUUAGCCAAGUUACACUUGAGCAAGAAAACAGCUUAUUGAAGGGAAUUAUAGAGAAAGGUGUUUACAAAAGCCUUGCCAGGAGUAAGCAAUUCGAGGAAAUUGUAGGCAAGCAAGGAAGACACCGAAAGAAUCAAGGUGUAGGUUUUAAACGACAGUUCAAUGCCAAUGGAGUUGAGUGGGAAGAAGAUCAAUACCCCAAGACGAAGUUUGUUCCUCAACAAGAGAAGUAUGAUCCUACUUCUUUCCAAGGAACACAAGCUCAAGAUGAUCUUCCACCACAAGACCACAAGCUAAAAGUCAAGGACAUGCUUCAAGAGGAGAUUGAUGCAUUUGAAGAAGCUCCCAAAGCCUUGGUCAAGUGGGUUCCCAAGACUACAUCAAGUUCUACUUCAUCAAGUACGACUACAACUCCGAAGAUUCCCAUCAAGAUGGUGUGGAUCCCAAAGAAGAAGAACUAG